GGACUGUAAAACUGAGGAUGUUGGUCAUGAGCACUGAAGCCACGGAAACAAAUAGAAAGCAUCUAGCUCUGCCGAAGCCAUUGGGGUUACAUAUAGUGUAGGAAUACUAAAAAAGGCCACAGGAGAGGCACGAGAGGACUGGAGAAUAGCUAAUGUGGCACUGCGAUUCAAGAAGGAAGCAAGGGAUGAAUCAGGAAACUGCGGCCCAAUCAGUCUGACCUCAAUGAUGGGAAAUUAUUGGACUCAAUUCCAAGGCAGAGCAUUAAUCUGCAUUUGGAAAGGCUGGACUUGAGGACAAAUAGAGCUCUGUUCAACAGAUGCUGAGUUGAUAUCACAGUCUCAUCGACUUGGAGAUAAUAUUCACCAGGAAAACAUCCAAGACCUGUAUAGACAACUUUGUAUAUUCUAGAAACUGUUCAGUAGUCCAUGGCUUGAUAGCUUGCACAACUCUGCAAAUCUUUUCCUGUGCAUUCAGUUUUACACCAAGCUUUGGAGUUGUUUCAUGUGCAAUGUCAGAUUUGCUUAAUGUCACUGUCUGGAACUCUAGCUCUUCAUUCUUCCCAUUGCCCUAGAUUAUCAGCUUAUCUUGUCCUCUUGGAAUGAGAAUCAUUCACUCAACAACCUCAAUAUUACUCCAAGCAGCACCACUUCUAUGUCACCAUCU